rnacentral:rRNA from 1 species
UACGGGGGGGGCAAGCGUUGUUCGGAAUUACUGGGCGUAAAGGGCUCGUAGGCGGCCAACUAAGUCAGACGUGAAAUCCCUCGGCUUAACCGGGGAACUGCGUCUGAUACUGGAUGGCUUGAGUUCGGGAGAGGGAUGCGGAAUUCCAGGUGUAGCGGUGAAAUGCGUAGAUAUCUGGAGGAACACCGGUGGCGAAGGCGGCAUCCUGGACCGACACUGACGCUGAGGAGCGAAAGCCAGGGGAGCAAAAGGG